rnacentral:sRNA from 1 species
ACACUGAACUUGAUUAACAUGUGGCUGAC